rnacentral:rRNA from 1 species
UACGGAGGGUGCAAGCGUUUGUCCGGAUUUAUUGGGUUUAAAGGGUGCGUAGGCGGUUCUUUUAAGUCAGUGGUGAAAGCCUCCAGCUUAACUGGAGAAAUGCCAUUGAUACUGAAGAACUUGAGUACAGACGAGGUAGGCGGAAUUGACAGUGUAGCGGUGAAAUGCAUAGAUAUUGUCAAGAACACCGAUUGCGAAGGCAGCUUACUAGACUGUAACUGACGCUGAGGCACGAAAGUGCGGGGAUCAAACAGG